rnacentral:misc_RNA from 1 species
ACAGAAAUACAGAACAUAAAGAGAGACAACAAAGGACAUGAACUGUAUAGUUACCCACACUACAUCACAGAAAACAUCAAUGGUGAUAUCUGUGUAUCAGACUAUGACAAACAUGCUGUAUGGUGGUGGAUAAAUCAGGACAACACAGGUUCUCCUACACAGGUCAAGGGUCAUGGUUUAGACCCUAUGGAAUAUGUACUGAUGUACUCGGUCACAUCCUGGUGUGUGAUACUUACAUUGACACAGUUCAUCUUCUGGAUCAGGACGGUCGGUUCUUGUCUCUUCUACUCACACAACAACAAGGGAUAAAGUAUUCCCGUAGUGUGUGUGUGGAUGAUGAGAACAAUCUCUGGGUGGGACAACUUGACAACAACACAGUGAAAGUGUACAAGUAUCUACAGUGAACAUUGCAUAUCCAUACAAUAUUUACAUGUAUAUACUGUGUGUAUGUUGUGAGACAAUGUAACAACAACACUGUGAUAGUGUACAAUGACUGGUAUCUACAGUGUACGUUGGAGUACAUACCAUUCAUGUAAACAUGUGUAUGUUAAUUUGUAAAUAUAUAGAAUAAUUUCA